GUCCAGGGGGCCGCCUUCGCCACCGGUAUUCCUCCAGAUCUCUACGCAUUUCACCGCUACACCUGGAAUUCUACCCCCCUCUACAAGACUCUAGCCUGCCAGUUUCGAAUGCAGUUCCCAGGUUGAGCCCGGGGAUUUCACAUCCGACUUGACAGACCGCCUGCGUGCGCUUUACGCCCAGUAAUUCCGAUUAACGCUUGCACCCUCCGUAUUACCGCGGCUGCUGGCACGGAGUUAGCCGGUGCUUCUUCUGCGGGUAACGUCAAUCGAUGAGGUUAUUAACCUCACCGCCUUCCUCCCCGCUGAAAGUGCUUUACAACCCGAAGGCCUUCUUCACACACGCGGCAUGGCUGCAUCAGGCUUGCGCCCAUUGUGCAAUAUUCCCCACUGCUGCCUCCCGUAGGAGUCUGGACCGUGUCUCAGUUCCAGUGUGGCUGGUCAUCCUCUCAGACCAGCUAGGGAUCGUCGCCUAGGUGAGCCGUUACCCCACCUACUAGCUAAUCCCAUCUGGGCACAUCUGAUGGCAUGAGGCCCGAAGGUCCCCCACUUUGGUCUUGCGACGUUAUGCGGUAUUAGCUACCGUUUCCAGUAGUUAUCCCCCUCCAUCAGGCAGUUUCCCAGACAUUACUCACCCGUCCGCCGCUCGUCACCCGAGAGCAAGCUCUCUGUGCUACCGCUCGACUUGCAUGUGUUAGGCCU
rnacentral:rRNA from 1 species